rnacentral:rRNA from 1 species
CCUACGGGUGGCAGCAGUAGGGAAUAUUGCUCAAUGGGGGAAACCCUGAAGCAGCAACGCCGCGUGGAGGAUGACGGUUUUCGGAUUGUUAACUCCUUUUGUUAGAGAAGAUAAUGACGGUAUCUAACGAAUAAGCACCGGCUAACUCCGUGCCAGCAGCCGCGGUAAUACGGAGGGUGCAAGCGUUACUCGGAAUCACUGGGCGUAAAGAGCGCGUAGGCGGGAUAGCAAGUCAGAUGUGAAAUCCUAUGGCUUAACCAUAGAACUGCAUUUGAAACUGUUAUUCUAGAGUAUGGGAGAGGUAAGUGGAAUUCUUGGUGUAGGGGUAAAAUCCGUAGAGAUCAAGAGGAAUACUCAUUGCGAAGGCGACCUGCUGGAACAUAACUGACGCUGAUGCGCGAAAGCGUGGGGAGCAAACAGGAUUAGAUACCCGAGUAGUC